rnacentral:misc_RNA from 1 species
AACGCACAUUGCGCCUCUUGGUAUUCCAUGAGGCAUGCCUGUUCGAGCGUCAUUUGUACACUCAAGCCUUGCUUGGUGAUGGGUGCUUGUUCCGCCACGCGCGCGAACUCACCUCAAAUGCAUUGGCAGCCGGCCGCCUGGUGUUUUGGAGCGCAGCACAUUGCGCGCCCGCCACCGAGCGGCGGCGUCCACGAAGCCUAACAACACGCUUGACCUCGGAUCAGGUAGGGAUACCCGCUGAACUUAA